AAGUGGAAAAGGAACUAGGAUUCGGAGUAUGUUUGGCUUUGGCUCCGCCCCAGCCUCCAGACGUUCAAGUCAUGUUUUCUGAGGAUCUCUGGAGCUACCAUGUUGAGAACAGCGUGAAGGGGCCAACAGCAUAAGCUGGGAGAGACAGGAGGCUACUGCAGUAAUCCAGGCUAGAGGUGAUGGUGGCUUGGACCAGAAGGGGGUCGGAUUCUGGAUGUAUUCUGAAGGCAGAGUCGGCUGCAUUUACUGAUUGGAUAAGCGUGAGAGCAGGGCACAAGAAUACUGCUUUGUCAUCAGAAUAUCGCCAGCUUGAACAAGGAUGACUGUUCCUCCUUUGCCAGGGACAGCCAGCUUGAAGACCUGCCCCACCCUGCUGGGCUCCCUGUCACAGUCUAAGCAAACUCCUUUGUCUAAGAGGUGGAGUCUAUUCCCUCACCCCUUGAAUCUGGCCUGGCCUUGUGACAUGGUUUGGCCAAUAGAAAGCCAUGGAAGAGAUGGUGUACCAGGACUGAGCUGAGGCCUCAAGAAGCGAUGCAGGCUUCCACUCUCUAUUUCUUGGAACCCUUCCAGAUGCCAGGCUGGUCCUGCUACCAGGUGUCCUGGAAACCCAGAGGGUUGAUGGGGAGGCCAGGGAAGCACAACAAGAUGUUGCCCACAACCAUCCUGAGGUCUGAUCUGGAUGACCAGUGCCUUCUCUACCACCUGCCAUCACAUGCAUGGAGAUCACAGACUUACCAUGUCUUGAUUGUAUAAAAAGUACAAGUGACUUCAGAUUUGAUGAAUCCUGAGUGGCGUGGAGGGGCAAGGGAAUAUUGUAUCUGAAGAAGCCGGGUGGUUGGCUGUGUUCAGAUUGUAAAGGAAUUGACAGAACUGGAGGAGUCUUUAGGGACCUUACAGUUGAAGCCCUUUGUUUCUGUGAGUGAGAGGUGGGUAGCCCAGUGAAUGAAUGUGAUUUACAGAGCUGGUUAUAGGGCUGGGAGGGGAACUAGGGAUGCCCAGGUCUUUUCUGAGUCACCUGGCAGCCUACUAGCUGCUGUUGCUCUUUUAAACCUUCCCCUUAAAUGUAUUUAAGUCCCCAGGGAAAGCUGUGAGCUGGGAACAAUUAGAGGGAGGACUAAGGUAAAGAGAGACUUGGCGGACAGUGGGGUGGAGAGAAGAGCUGAACGUUGUUUCCUAAAAUUCAAAGUCCUUCUGCUGCCUGAAGGGGUUCAGUUGGGAAGGCUGGGUUUCCAAUACGGGAUGUGGGAUGGAGUGUGUGUGCUGGGGCAGAGGGGAGACAGGAUAUGAUCAGCGUUCAAUCUGAGAGCUGGAAGAUGCGCUGUUGUUUGCCAACCGAGGGAAGGGAACGGGGGAAACUUUGGGCACCGAUGUUGCUCAGAGACCCAAAGAAAGUGAGUGAGGGAGUGUGGGGAGAUCUGAGGGAAGAUCGUUUGGGGCAGAGGGAACAGCAGGAAUGAGGCUGGAACAGACGUGAAUGUUUGCGGGGGGUGUGGACGCCACUGUAUGGGAGCUGAAUGAGCAAAGUGACAUCCCAGGGGAUGAGGUUGGAGAGAGACACAGGGUCAGGCUCUGUGGCACACGGUGUAGACCCUGGAAGAGUUUGGAACUGGCUGUGAGUCUAGCAGGGGAGUUGUAAGGUGGAGGGCUCCUUUAGGGCAGGGACUGUGUCUUGUUACAUUCUCCCACAGCUGAGGUUAUGGCAUAUUCCAAAAAGGAAGAUGCAGCCCUGACACCUCUGAUAGAAGAAGUUGAGAAGAAAGAUGGGCAAGGACGACGGGACCACGUCAAGCUGCUCUCUGGUCCUUAGACCAGUGUUUCAGUUCCUGACCUCAUUGCCCCCUCACUUCACUUCUGUGACUAAGCAGUGAAGAAAUUACUGCCUCUAUUCUAAGACAGGACGCUGAGGCGAAGAGAGAUUGACUUGCUUGCCCAAGGUCACGGCUGAUUAUGGCAGAGCUCGGAUGGGAGCCCCAGGCCUCCUGACCCCCGGUCCAGGGCUCUUCUGAAACCCCCGGAGUCCUCGACAGGGAAGCCCUCUUCA